GAUAGUGUAGUUAAAUAUAACAUAAGCAUGUCAAGCUUAAAUUAGUUUCAAUUAAAACUCACCAUCC
rnacentral:tRNA from 1 species